AGCUUUGCACAGUGGCAGUAUCGUAGCCAAUGAGGUUUAUCCGAGGGGCGAUUAUUGCUAAUUAAAUAGUUUUUGUGUCAGGGGCUUACAUAAACGUAUACUUUUUAUUAAUAUUCUUGAAUUGUAUUUGAAUUU